UACGUAGGGGGCGAGCGUUGUCCGGAUUAUUGGGCGUAAAGAGCUCGUAUGGCGGUUCGUCACGUUCGGGAGUGAAAACUCGGAGCUUAACUCCGUAGCCUGCUUCCGAUACGGGCAGACUAGAGGUAGGCAGGGGAGAGCGGAACUCCGUGGUGUAGCGGUGGAAUGCGCAGAUAUCAGGAAGAACACCGGUGGCGAAGGCGGACUCUCUGGGCCUUACCUGACGCUGAGGAGCGAAAGCGUGGGUAGCGAACAGGA
rnacentral:rRNA from 1 species